GUCCGGCUGGCUCAGUCACAAGAGCACGUGACUCUUGAUCUUGGGGUUGUGAGUUCGAGCCCCACGCUGGGUG
rnacentral:tRNA from 1 species